rnacentral:lncRNA from 1 species
GACUAGUGAAAACUCAUAUAAAAAUUAGUGAGAAAUGAUUUUGAGGCUUUUGUUAUUUAUCUUCUUUCUCACAAAUUUUUUUAAGAAUUUUUUAGUGAUUUUUUUAGAGUGAAAAUGAGUUAAAAGUAGGUAAAUGAGCAUUCUUCUUGUGCUCUGGUCAUGCAAGGUAUGAUGGCAAUGUACAAGGACUUGACUCAAAUGUAGAGGGAGCUAGAGGAUGUUUUUGGAGGUGGU